GCAAACUCAGUCACAGGGGUAGUCGACAUUCGCGACAUUCCAGCGAGCGAGCUCAAAAAACAACACAAAGCAGAAACUAUCUGUCAAAUCUGAAAAGUCUCGAACUCGCUGGACUCCUUACGCAAAAUUUUUGGGUGCCGGUUUCUGUGAGCAACGUUGCAAAUCCAGCUUACUGCAUGACCGCCGUCGCCAGUAUACUAUCCUUCAUGGGAUGUGGUCAACCAGAGGGCAGUGAUGCCACAUCGACACAUUUUUUUUGCUGGGCUCGAUCGGGUUGGACCAGUGCUGGAGGACAACAGUAAUGUGACGAUCAGGAACGACGGAUCCCCCAUCCUGCGCCUGCGCCUGGAGGUCGAGCAUCCGGCCUCAAGUUGCUUUUUACGUUGAUCCUGAUCCAGAACGAGAAGUUCGAUGGAUGAACCUUGUCGGUUGUCAUCAUCGUAACCGAGCUACUGGUGAAGCAAAAGAUUCCCUCGCGUAAUUUACCGAUCCAGCUAUCAGCUGGUGUGCAAGAUGGACGAGUUGGGUCGUGAAAUGGACGGUCGCAUUACACGAUAGCCACAAUAUAGUUUCAAGACGGUACAUCGGUCGUCGCUGGGUAGAAGUGCACAACCACAUGCCGUAGAGUGCCGACGUUGCGCCGCUCUGUCUGUUCCGGGCUAGCUGUGCGCUGUUGAACCACCCUAUUUGAGGUGACGUGCGCGGAUGCAACCCUGCGCACAACGGCGCAGCCGUUCAAGAGAAAAAGUGAUACGUCACACACAGUUAGUUCAAAGCCAGCUUCGCAACAAUAAAGACACGUUUUGUUGUUACUCGCGCGUAUUUUAUUUUCCGACAAAGUUAACCGGAUCCGUCCCUCCUUUUCGCGUUCCCUGCUGCCGUCGGUACUCUGCUAAUCCGGCCAACAGGUUUUGUGCCCAGGAACGCAGCGGAAGAGGAGUUCGGUCGCGCGGAAGCUGAGGAAAAGUUGCAGCCGGACGAUUGGUGAAAAGUUCCGGCAAGAUGGCGGACCAGCGCUACGCCCUUCCCAGACUGACCAGCGUAAACUACCACACUUGGAAGUUUAAAAUGGAGAUGUUGCUCAUCAAAGAGCGGUUGUGGUCAGUAAUC